UACGGAGGAUGCAAGCGUUAUCCGGAAUGAUUGGGCGUAAAGCGUCCGCAGGUGGCGAUGUAAGUCUGCUGUUAAAGAGUGAGGCUCAACCUCAUAAGAGCAGUGGAAACUACAUAGCUAGAGUGCGGUAGGGGCAGAGGGAAUUCCUGGUGUAGCGGUGAAAUGCGUAGAGAUCAGGAAGAACACCGGUGGCGAAAGCGAUCUGCUAGGCCGCAACUGACACUGAGGGACGAAAGCUAGGGGAGCAAAUGGG
rnacentral:rRNA from 1 species